rnacentral:rRNA from 1 species
UACGAAGGGGGCUAGGCGUUGCUCGGAAUCACUGGGCGUAAAGGGCGCGUAGGCGGUCUGUGCAAGUCAGUUGUGAAAUCUCCGAGCUUAACUCGGAAAGGUCAACUGAUACUGCUCGACUAGAGUGCGGAAGGGGCAACUGGAAUUCUUGGUGUAGCGGUGAAAUGCGUAGAUAUCAAGAGGAACACCUGCGGCGAAGGCGGGUUGCUGGGCCGACACUGACGCUGAGGCGCGAAAGCUAGGGGAGCGAACGGG